UUUUCUUUUUUUUUCUUUUUUUUCUUUUUUUUUUUUUUUUUCUUAUGAUUAGACUCUAGCAUCCUCGCACCAUCUGGUGGUAUAUUGACGAAACUAAUAUUUCAUUACCAAAAUUUCAGCAUCUAUUGAAAUAGUGUACCUUUUUUAUUUUACAAUUGAUAAACGUUAUAAUCUGUAAAUGUGUAACUUAGUUUAAUGGCAUAAAUUUAACUGUAUAGAUAUAGUUGUUUGUGAAAUGAGGUCAUACUUUUUCUGUGAUAAUUAUAUCGUGCUUUACCUAACGCUUUCUUGUGUUCAUCAAUUAUAAUUAGGUUAACUUUACGUUUACUUUAUUUACAUAACAAGUUUGUAGUAUUAAUUGAGCAGUAUAGUUUAUGGAAAACAGUAUCGACAAUUUCAACGCAUACUUUUUUUUUCUAUUGUCAUAUGUAUAUAUUAUACGUAUAUAUACAUAUAUAUGAUAUAUAUAUAUAUAUGUUAUGGUAGAAAAUAAAAAUGGAAAAGGAGGAAAAAAGAAAUAGAAAGAAAAUUAUAAGAAUAUACGUAAGAAUGAAUACGAAUGAACGAACGCGAAUCAACGAACAAACGAAUUGUAAGAAUGAGUAAAUGAGCUAUGUCCUGUUACAUAAACACAACUGGUAGUAGUUGAGGGCAACCGUUAAUGAUGCGAAUAUUCACAAUCAAAAAACCACGAUAAAGAAUUGCAAUGAUGUGACGUGUAUGAAACGAUAAAUAUCGUGUUCAUUAAAGCUGUCUUUUUAACACUAUCGACCUGAUAUAAAUGAUCAUUUUGAUAAUUAUAGGUACGUGCACUAUAUUGUGUAUUAAUGAGAUGCAAUAAAAAUACGUAACGUUAUUUUUAAAAUAUAACUGCAUACUUAUAUACAUAAAAUUUGAUAAUAUGCAAAUGGCAAUAUAAUAAAGAUAAAAAAAGUUAAAAAUAAAGUAUAUGCGAUGUUAUUGCUAUAUUUAUAAAAAGAAACACGCAAAAGAUAAUAAGAAUUGGAGAGACAAAAAAUAGAACAUAACAAGUAGUAUCAAUGCAGUUACUAUAUAAUUAUAUUUACAAAUGCAUACAUAAAAGAAAAAGGGACAAAGAAAAAAGCUAGUAAAAAGAAUGAAAAAUAUGUAUAUUAAAAAAAAAAAAAGUGAGAAAUAAUAAUAAAAUAAAAACGGGUUAUGAUUAAUAAAAAAAAUUCUGUUGUCCUUUUGCAGUCACGUGACGAGUCUACGAAGAACAGGAAGAAAAACAAAAAAAAAAAAAGAGAAAAAAAAAAAGAAAGAAAAAUACAAAACUAACAA